rnacentral:rRNA from 1 species
GAUGAACGCUAGCGGCAGGCUUAAUACAUGCAAGUCGUGGGGCAGCGCAGUGUAGCAAUACAUGGGCGGCGACCGGCAAACGGGUGCGGAACACGUACGCAAUCUACCCAAAACUGGUGAAUAGCCCUCCGAAAGGAGGAUUAAUACACCAUAACCUAUUGAAGUGGCAUCACUUUAUUAGUAUAGCUCCGGCGGUUUUGGAUGAGCGUGCGCCUGAUUAGGUAGNGGCGGGGUAAUGGCCCACCAAGCCUNCGAUCAGUAACUGGUGUGAGAGCACGACCAGUCACACGGGCACUGAGACA